UACAGAGGUCUCAAGCGUUGUUCGGAUUCAUUGGGCGUAAAGGGUGCGUCGGCGGCUUUGUAAGUCAGUGGUGAAAUAUGGCAGCUCAACUGUCAAGGUGCCAUUGAUACUGCGGAGCUUGAGUACAGAUGAGGUAGGCGGAAUUGACGGUGUAGCGGUGAAAUGCUUAGAUAUCGUCAAGAACACCUAUAGCGAAGGCAGCUUACUAGGCUGUAACUGACGCUGAGGCACGAAAGUGUGGGGAUCAAACAGG
rnacentral:rRNA from 1 species